ACCCUACUGGUGUAUCGGUUAACAUGGUGGAUUCUCAAACUCAUUCCCCACAGAGUGCAAGUCUUCCGCAGCGCAGGGUUCAACUCCCUGGUAGGGUA